CCGCCACUUGCCUGGAGGUACUGGCGACUCGCGCUCUCCCUCCGUAAGAUUUUUGGUUUGCCCGCAGCCAGCCGGCCUACCCGAUGUAUGUUCGCGUCACGGUCGGUACGCUACUCGUCUACAUGGGCAUGCUAGCUAGCCAACGGACGCCUACUGAACGGCCAACAGUUUUUCGCGCUGUGGUGGACGCUACUACGCUGCUGGUGGAACAGACCUCCUGGCCAUGCUUUUCGCGGCGUUUCCACCACUACUAGGACAYAAACCAGUCGGCUUACGGCAUUGCUGACUGCCUUCCCGCUGCUACCACCCAAACNUUUCGACAACAGUUCUCUACGACUGAGGCUACUAGGCCGGGGAGCAGGGGCCGACGUGUCUUAGUGGACUAGUUCCUCGAUGGGAGCCCACUNAUUAAUUAAUGGUUGUUUACAGCACACACGCCAUAGAUGAUAUCAUGGGUGGUGUGUAAUAUCGAUCGAGUGANCGUUCGUUCGUUCGCCUUCGAACAUCCGCUUAAAGCGGUGUCGAAUCCGCAGGACCUGUCCGGCUGUGUUACUAGCGGAAGGAGCGGCCGACAAUGCUUCUCGGGACCUGAGCCGCUUACGCGGCGAAUAUUGCACCGAGUGCGGAAGCGAGUCCAUAGGCACGACACUACUGUUACAUAGAGUAUAUCCUAUGGAUCUACGCAACCACGGCAGACACCCGCCAUCUAACCAUGUGUACGGUUCGGCGGGCGUCGAUUGCCCUCUCGGCGACUUGGUUGCCACUGCCAAGGUGUUUCGGAGGCCCGACCCUGAUGCCCUGUGCGAAAAGUACGUACCUCUCGGUAAGGGAGCCUGACCUCCGUGGAGUACUACGCCGAUUGCAUGACUAUCAUAAGACGUUAACAUGAGCUACACGCAGUUAAAAACCACUGAUUUCCACUCACCGCCUACAGACCCGGCAAACAAGAGAUCAUCUAAGCCCUCGAGCUGCCUACAUGCUUUCAACAUUUUUCCCCCUNAGUU
rnacentral:sRNA from 1 species